UUUCCGCAGGUGAACCUGCGGAAGGAUCAUUAUCGAGUUUUGACUGGGUUGUAGCUGGCCUUCCGAGGCGUGUGCACGCCCUGCUCAUCCACUCUACACCUGUGCACUUACUGUGGGUAUCAGAUCGUAAAGCGUGCUCUUUUACCGGAGCUUGUGAAGCGUGUCUGGGCCUGCGUUUAUCACAAACACUAUAAAGUAUCAGAAUGUGUAUUACGAUGUAACGCAUCUAUAUAAAACUUUCAGCAACGGAUCUCUUGGCUCUC
rnacentral:misc_RNA from 1 species